GAUGAACGCUGGCGGCGUGCCUAAUACAUGCAAGUCGAGCGAACGGACGAGAAGCUUGCUUCUCUGAUGUUAGCGGCGGACGGGUGAGUAACACGUGGAUAACCUACCUAUAAGACUGGGAUAACUUCGGGAAACCGGAGCUAAUACCGGAUAAUAUUUUGAACCGCAUGGUUCAAAAGUGAAAGACGGCCUUGCUGUCACUUAUAGAUGGAUCCGCGCUGCAUUAGCUAGUUGGUAAGGUAACGGCUUACCAAGGCAACGAUGCAUAGCAGACCUGAGAGGGUGAUCGGCCACACUGGAACUGAGACACGGUCCAGACUCCUACGGGAGGCAGCAGUAGGGAAUCUUCCGCAAUGGGCGAAAGCCUGACGGAGCAACGCCGCGUGAGUGAUGAAGGUCUUCGGAUCGUAAAACUCUGUUAUUAGGGAAGAACAUAUGUGUAAGUAACUGUGCACAUCUUGACGGUACCUAAUCAGAAAGCCACGGCUAACUACGUG
rnacentral:rRNA from 1 species